GACGAACGCUGGCGGCGUGCUUAACACAUGCAAGUCGAACGGAAAGGCCCUGCUUUUGUGGGUUGCUCGAGUGGCGAACGGGUGAGUAACACGUGAGUAACCUGCCCUUGACUUUGGGAUAACUUCAGGAAACUGGGGCUAAUACCGGAUAGGAUCUCCUGCUGCAUGGUGGGGGUUGGAAAGUUUCGGCGGUUGGGGAUGGACUCGCGGCUUAUCAGCUUGUUGGUGGGGUAGUGGCUUACCAAGGCUUUGACGGGUAGCCGGCCUGAGAGGGUGACCGGCCACAAUGGGACUGAGAGACGGACCAGAAGGCUAAGGGAGGCAGAAGUGGGGAAUAUGGCACAAUGGGCGGAAGCCUGAUGCAGCAACGCCGCGUGCGGGAUGACGGCCUUCGGGUUGUAAACCGAUUUCGAAGGUGACGAAGAGUGAGUGACGGUAAUGGGUAAAGAAGCACCGGCUAACUACGUG
rnacentral:rRNA from 1 species